CAGUGUUACAACUCUUUUACAAUUUGUCUAGCAGGUUUUCUGGUCUUUACUGAAAAGCCCCA
ensembl:snRNA U7 U7 small nuclear RNA